rnacentral:rRNA from 1 species
CCUACGGGAGGCUGCAGUGGGGAAUAUUGGACAAUGGGCGAAAGCCUGAUCCAGCCAUGCCGCGUGUGUGAAGAAGGCCUUCGGGUUGUAAAGCACUUUCAGUGGGGAAGAAAGCCUUGGGGCUAAUACCCUCGAGGAAGGACAUCACCCACAGAAGAAGCACCGGCUAACUCCGUGCCAGCAGCCGCGGUAAUACGGAGGGUGCGAGCGUUAAUCGGAAUUACUGGGCGUAAAGCGCGCGUAGGCGGUCUGAUAAGCCGGUUGUGAAAGCCCCGGGCUCAACCUGGGAACGGCAUCCGGAACUGUCAGGCUAGAGUGCAGGAGAGGAAGGUAGAAUUCCCGGUGUAGCGGUGAAAUGCGUAGAGAUCGGGAGGAAUACCAGUGGCGAAGGCGGCCUUCUGGACUGACACUGACGCUGAGGUGCGAAAGCGUGGGUAGCAAACAGGAUUAAUCCCCGGUAGUC